rnacentral:rRNA from 1 species
UACGUAGGGGGCAAGCGUUGUCCGGAAUCAUUGGGCGUAAAGAGCGUGUAGGCGGCCAGAAAAGUCCGCUGUGAAAACUCGAGGCUCAACUUCGAGCUGUCGGUGGAAACUUUCUGGCUAGAGUCCGGAAGAGGAGAAUGGAAUUCCCGGUGUAGCGGUGAAAUGCGCAGAUAUCAGGAGGAACACCGGUGGCGAAGGCGGGUCUCUGGGCCGUAACUGACGCUGAGGAGCGAAAGCAUGGGGAGCGAACAGG